CAGAUUGUUUAAACACCCACGUUCUUGCCAAGAGGCGGAAGCAGCCCAAGCGUCCAUGAAUGGAUGAAUGGAGAAACAAACUGUGGUAGAUACGUGCAACGGAAUAUUAUUCAGUCUUGAAAAAGGAAGGAAAUUCUGACAUGUGCUACAACACGGAUGAACCUGAAGAUAUGCUAAGUGAAAUCGGUCACCAGGGAUGACUACUGUGUGGUUCUACUUACGUGAGGUACCUAGAAUAGUCCAGCUCGUGGAAACAGAAGGUAGAAUGGUGGUUGUCAGUGGCUGGGGGGAGGGAGAAAUGGGGCAUUAACAUUCACUGGAUUUCAGUUGGGGAAGAGGAGAAAGUUCUGGAGACGGAUGGUGGUGAGAGCUGCACAACAGUGUGAAUGUGUUUAAUACCACUGAACUGUACACUUAAAAAUGGUUAAAAUGGGGAACCGGACAGAAAGUUAAAUCAAGUCAGGAUGGUACAAUAGAACGCUGGUGAUACCUUUAGGACAACAGUCCAACCCGUCAGCAUCUCAACAAAACUAACAAGAGCUGGAAUCCUGGGGGGGUCCUGACUGCGUGGGUCCUAGAGGAGAAGCACCGGGGCCGUUUUUGAGCAGAGCCUGCCCCCAUUUGAGGCCAGGCACUCUGUUCCACCCAGGUAUGUUCCAGCAAGGCCCCAGGAGGGUUCCACUUUCUCAUCCAGUUUGAGCACAGCCCGAAUCUUCGUGCCCACUGUGUAACUAGGGAAAAAAGGUGCCCUUUUGUUGCAGUGGGACUCAAGGGAACUUUUUCAAACUGUUACAGUGACUAUAAAUUAGUGAGUUAAUCCACUCAAGUGUUUGGGAUGUGGUCAGGUGUCAUUUGUGUGCAUUCCCAUCCCAAAUUAGCCAAUCGUGUUGGUAUUUUGAUGGGCAGAACCCCCUCUAGUCUGUUCACUGUUAACAUCAGAGUACGUAUAUUUUUGUACAUGGAUUUUUUUAAAGAACUUUAAACUAAAAAAAAAAAAAAAAAACUCUUGCAAAAAGAAUUGACCUAUGUAAAAAGCAUUUAAUAUAGAGAACACAGAAGCACCUUCCACCAGGUAAAAGUCCCGAUGACAUAUAUCUGAUUGCACUAGUCACAUCUCUCUUUACCUGCAGAGAAUUUGUUUGAAUAUAAAAUAACAAACUUCAUGUCCCCAUCUUCUUCAGACAAAUCUUCAGCAUCCCUCAACCUGAGGAUCACGUUUAAUUCAGCAGAAUAAUGAUUGUGCUCAUAGAAAGAAAAGAGAUCAUCCAAAGUCUUCUAGUUUAAAAAUAGCACCAUUGGAGAAAGAGGAUAUAUCUUCUAAGUGCAAAGUCCCAAGGCAAGUGAUUUACUGCAGUUCAUGCAAAGUAAACACUGAGUGGCUGAUGUUCUGAACUUCCCUGUGAUCGGGGGUAGAAAACAGAAGUAAAAACAAACCAAAACAAAACAGAAAGGCAAACAAUAACUUUGGAGAAUCAGAAGACACACACACACACACACCAUCCCUGCCAGAGUGUGUUCUUUGUUUCCUGCCCGUUGUAUCACCAGUCAGGGACCUCGACCACGAAGGGUGUCUUCACGUCUACCUUGCCACUGCUGACGAUGGUGCAGUCGGUGAGCGGACGGUCGUGCCCAUCAGUUGGCUGCAGUUCUAUGGAGUGGACCACUGUCUAGGAAAGACAAGCAGACCCAUGGCUCGCUUCUGACUGGCAACCGUGGCGGUCAGAAGGUGAAAUCGCUGCCCAGUCUGAAAGCCCAAGUGGGAAACCAGGGGUUUUUUUUGUUGUUUUGGGGUUUUUUUUGUUUUUUUGUUUUUGCUUUUUAUUGGUUUUCUCCCCCUCCCCCCCCCCCCACCCCGGUAUGAUUUCAAGAACCACACACGCCAACCAUGGUAAACUUACCAUAUUCAGGAAAUUUACAUACAACAGAAUAAAAUGUAUCCACUCCCUUGCUAGUGAAAGAACGUAUUUGUGAAUUUCCCUCUUUUAAUUAGCAUUUUAUAUUCUAAACAUAAUUAGAUAUUUUUGUACACGCAUGGCUCUCAUGAAAUACAUUUCUUCCUGCUUCACACCCGACGUAAGAGUUAAUGUGGAGCAUGGAUCAGUUUCUGCUCUGCCCUGUAAACGGUCUAGGCGUUAAGAAACCAGGUCAGAAGGCUGCCUUAGAAGCGGAGCGGGGUCUGGGUUUGUCCAUUUUCAAGCCGACCCCAGCCAUUAACCUCCAGGUUGAGUUAGAGGCCCUAGCCCCACAGUGGCGUGAAAGCCCUAUCUCUACCCGGGAAGGCUGCACACACCUGACGCUUCACACUGAAGGAGGGAGGAUUUGUCCAGGACUAGGAAUACUGGCUUCUGACCUUCCCACACAAGGUUGAGACAAAGAGGGCAACAGUAUGAAACACACACACACACACACACACACACACACACACACACGAUUGUUUCCUUCUGGAGAGAAACGUCUGGUGAUUUUUUUUUUUUUUUCUGGAGAGAAUAUAGUUGUCAUUAAUCUCUCAAAGAAGUCUAUGACUCAGAAUGUUAAGGACUGUUCCUCUGAGGCCAGGCAGGUCUCCUAGGAUGCACCCCAGUGGGUGGAAGGAAUUCAGUGCAGUCAGUUACAGCCAUCAGAAGAUCGAGAGGUCAGAAGAUCUAGAAAAACCGUGACCAGAAGAAGAAAACACAACACGUGCACUCUUCAUUCUCUCACGGGUUCGCGUGAUGUAUUCCACAACACUCGUUGCGGGAACGUCUGAACCAGUUUACUUUUAAACUGUUCAAAACCUGGUUCGGCCCACUGGUCAAAAACCCAGACUGGUUGAACACACGCACACCCCCGUUCGGCUCACGCCAAGAACAGCAUUCCCUUAGAGGCUGGCAGGGUGGUGCACUUGUGACUGGGUAAGAAUACAGUCCUGUGAGGACAGUGACGUCUCGUGAGAACACAGGCCUGUUCUUUAUCGUGACAGGAUGUAAAGUGAGCUGCGAAGUCAUCCGUGUUGGUCGUAUUUCAUCUCACUCGCCCGUGAGAACCCUAUCUUCAGCAGUGCAGGCUGAAUACUUGCUUGCCCUGUGGGUUAGGCUCUGAGGGGGGUCAGCUCGGUUCCUGGCUUUUCGAUGGGCAGAAUCAGGAUAGCGGGGAGAAGGUGGGGAAGAAUCGCCAUAACGGAGCUAACGUUUGGAGGGAAGAGGCAGAAUUCGGACCUGAGAAUGAAACAAAAUCAAAUAUGGAAGAGGGCAGGGGAGUCAAGAAUGGUCCAGGGUUGGGGUGAGCGGACCUUACAGCUGCUAGUUUAGGAGUUGGGAGAGCUUCUGUGGGCAGCUAGCUGCUAAGGAGAAGUGUUGGGAACUGAAGAGAGUAAGGAUUUUAAGACGUGUUCCCGUGGAUUAGGAGUCAGACCCCUCCACUAUUCUUUCAGACAGACCAGCAGAAAUCUGCGUUCUCUCUAGCAGUUUUGGUUGCUGUACUGUGACUUCGAAAGUGACCUGUUUGUGUCCUGAAGCACCUGGGGCUCAGUGUCCUUUUUUGAACAGUUUAUAUUUAAUUGUGGUAAGAAACACAUAACAUAAAAUGUACCAUCUCACCUAUUCGUACAUGGACAAUGCAGCAGUCUUACGUAUAUUCACAGUGCACAGCUCAUGGGCAGAACUUUCUCAUCUUGCAAAACUGAAACUCUGCACCCACUGAACACCAACUCCCAUUUCUUCCUCCUCGCCAGCCCCUGGCAACCACCAUUCUCCUUCAUGUGUCCGUGCAUUUGACUACUUUAGAUACCAAAGUAGAAUCAUCCGGUCUUUUUGUGACUGGCUUAUUUUACUUAACAUACUCAAGGUUCAUCCACGUCGUAGCACGUUACAGGAUUUCCUUCCUUUUUAAGGCAGAAUAUUAUUCUACUGUGUGCACAUAUGGGACCCGAGUCUUAUUUGGUUACAUUAAAAAAGUUUUCAUUUAUAUCAAGUAGUAAGAUAAAUUAAGUACUCAGUGUUUCCACGUCAAGUCUCCAGCUUUUGCCCCGGUGCUCCUAACAGUCAGAACACCACAAUAUGGGGCGCCUGGGUGGCUCAGUCGGUUAAGCGUGUGACUUCGGCUCAGGUCAUGUUCUCGCGGUUCAUGGGUUCGAGCCCCGCAUUGGGCUCCGCGUACUGACAGCUCAGAGCCUGGAGCCUGCUUUGGAUUCUGUGUCUCCCUCUCUGCCCCUCCCCCUACUCGUGCUCUGUCUCUCUCUCAAAAA